CUUCGAGUUAAUAUUAUACUUCUAUUAAGUAUAAAAUAAGUUUUUGUAGUAUCCACUAGUGUAAAUACUUUAAAUUAAAGAUCAAAUUUAUUCAUUACAUUCUUAUAGGGUCGAGGAGUGUAUCUGUAAAAAAUCAUCAAAAUCGGAGAUAAAAUAACCGUUAAAUUUUGAUUUUUCGUUUAUAACCAUCGAAAAGUUUUGUUCCAUUACGUAAUCUCUGAAUGUUUGUUUUUUAUGAUUUUUUAUGUAUGCGAUCUCAGAAUGUGUACAAAUAAGUUUGAUGGUUGGAUCGUUGAAAAAAGUUUUGUAGAAUGCAUAUUGCGUCAAAACAGUAGAUUAAACAAACACUUAGAGUUAAUAUUAUACUUCUAUUAAGUAUAAAAUAAGUUUUUGUGGUAUCCACUAGUGUAAAUACUUUAAAUUAAAGAUCAAAUUUAUUCAUUACAUUCUUAUAGGGUCAAGGAGUGUAUCUGUAAAAAAUCAUCAAAAUCGGAGAUAAAAUAACCGUUAAAUUGUGAUUUUUCGUUUAUAACCGUCAAAAACUUUUGUUCCAUUACGUAAUCUCUGAAUGUUUGUUUUUUACGAUUUUUUACGUAUGCGAUCUCGGAAUGUGUACAAAUACGUUUGACGGUUGGAUCAUUGAAAAAAGUUUCGUAGAAUGCAUAUUGCGUCAAAACGGUAGAUUAAACAAACACUUAGAGUUAAUAUUAUACUUCUAUUAAGUAUAAAAUAAGUUUUUGUAGUAUCCACUAGUGUAAAUACUUUAAUUAAAGAUCAAAUUUAUUCAUUACAUUCUUAUAGGGUCGAGGAGUGUAUCUGUAAAAAAUCAUCAAAAUCGGAGAUAAAAUAACCGUUAAAUUGUGAUUUUUCGUUUAUAACCGUCGAAAACUUUUGUUCCAUUACGUAAUCUCUGAAUGUUUGUUUUUUACGAUUUUUUACGUAUGCGAUCUCGGAAUGUGUACAAAUAAGUUUGACGGUUGGAUCGUUGAAAAAAGUUUCGUAGAAUGCAUAUUGCGUCAAAACGGUAGAUUAAACAAACACUUAGAGUUAAUAUUAUACUUCUAUUAAGUAUAAAAUAAGUUUUUGUGGUAUCCACUAUUGUAAAUACUUUAAAUUAAAGAUCAAAUUUAUUCAUUACAUUCUUAUAGGGUCGAGGAGUGUAUCUGUAAAAAUUCAUCAAAAUCGGAGCUAAAAUAACCGUUAAAUUGUGAUUUUUUGUUUAUAACCGUCGAAAACUUUUGUUCCGUUACGUAAUCUCUGAAUGUUUGUUUUUUACGAUUUUUUACGUAUGCAAUCUUGGAAUGUGUACAAAUAAGUUUGACGGUUGGAUCGUUGAAAAAAGUUUUUGGACCGCCAGCAAUAGAUAGUUUUGUAGUAGUGAAACCUUAAAUUUAUUUAACCAUCGAUUGUCAUUUACGCUUUAUUCUUCUUAUUGAAUUUCAUUUUUAAAAUUUUAUUUUUUGAAAACAUGAUCAUCUGGCGGAUGUAAGAAGAUGAUAUCACGUUUCGAUAUUUACGAUUAACUGAAAUAUGAGUCAAUGUCAUAUAAUUUGUAGAAACUUUAUAAACAUCAAGCAAUAUUUUCACUAACCGUAAAACUCUAAAUAUAAUAUCAACAAUCCAAACCGUUCAUCUACCUGCACCCUCUAAUAGAUCAUGUUUUCAAAAAAGAAAAUCUGAAAAAACGAAAUUUGAUGAGAACAAUGAAGCAUAAAUGUAAACAACAAUCAACGGUUACAUUUUGAUCUAUGAAUUAUAUGAUUAUAGUGGCGAAUUUCGAAGUUAAGCUCUUCAUGAAAGUUAUAAAGCUUGUCAUUACGAGUGUUUAUAUAUUUUUUUCUAUAUUUUUUUACACUUCUACAUUAAUUAAAAAACUAUUAAAGACUUUAGGUAAGCGAAAAUAUACUUAAAACAAAAUUGUGUUUUUAUGUUUUGGAUGUGAUAAUAUGGAAUAUAUAUACUUAUUUAGUAUGAUGUUUUUCAUUUGAUUAUUUAUUGGUUUAAAAUAUAUUUUCCUUAACGGGUAACGGGUCGGGUCAUAUUACCUGUUAAUAUUAUCGGGUCGAUUUCGGGUCGGGUCAUUUUACCCGUUUAUUUUAACGGGUGUUACACGACACGACACGACCCGUUAAGAUAUCAGGUAUGACACGAAAACGACACGAACACGGAAAACACGACACGAAUGCCAAGUCUAGUUUGAGUACUGGCAAGUUUGAAAAGUUUCGUCAUCAACUCAGCAUGGAGAAAAGAAUGAGCUGGUGUUGAGGGGGAGUGUUAAAAGAGCCCAACCCCAGCCCAUUCCACACAAAUCCAAGCACCAAAGUCGGCGCAGCAUGCAGACAUGUCAAUAUGCUAGAUAAUUCUAGCAUUAUCUUAUUAAGUCGGUGGAUGUGUGUGUAUAAUCAUGUGCUAGAAAGCUCUAGCAGCUUGUACAAUUGUGUGGCUGCCAUGCAAAGCCCAAAGGCGAUGGGCAAUUGUAGUCGGCAAACACCACCUAUAAAUAGGUGUGUGAUGUUGUGAAAGCAAUCAACAAACAAGAAAGAAGUAAUCAAGCAAGCAAGCAACCAAGUGAGAGUGAGAAGUAAGAGUAGUCUUGUGAGGAGGAGUGUGAGUGAUUUAGAGUUUGUCUCUAGAAAGUGAGUGAGUGUCAUUGCUUCUAAAGUGUGUCUUUAUGUCCUUUUGAGUGUUGUAAUAUUUUGUGUGUGUAAUACAAGUAAUUUGUUUACUUGUGUACUCUAAGUUUUUCCUCAACAAUUGCAGCCAAUGUAUUCUACUGUGAUGGAUCGCAGGCAAUCUGGACUGAGUUACGCGAAUGUUUCUCCUAGGUAAACAACGUUCAACUCUUCCAUAUUGAGAAUGAAAUGCAUGAUUAUGUUCAAUUCUUCAACACAUGAUGAACUUUCAGGUAAGGCUUUCUGUUUCUCUUCUCAGGGUAAGAAAGCCACAUGGAUCCUCGAUAGCGGGGCGACUGAUCAUAUCGUUUGUAGCCCUAAAUUACUUACAACUUGGAAAGCUGUUAAAAAUAAGACAGUGGAAUUACCAGAUGGCUCCCUUGCUAAUGUUACACAUGUUGAUGAACCACAAAUCAGAAACUCAAACUCAUCUCACUAAUUUCAUUAGCAUGGUUGAAACACAAUUUUCUUCCAAAAUUAAGGUUGUGCGUAGUGAUAAUGGCCCUGAAUUCACAGUGAAAACCUAUUACUUGUCCAAAGGUAUUCUUCACCAAACUAGUUGCAUUCAUACCCCACAACAAAACGGAGUCGCUGAACACAAACAUACACUUACUCAACAUGGCACGAGCUUUGCUUUUUCAAGCCCACCUUCCUAAACAGUUUUGGGGGGACUCCAUUUUAACUGCAACUUAUCUCAUAAAUCGCACACCCACACCAGUUUUGAAGGGUAAAACACCUUAUCAGCGGUUGUUCAAUGUCACACCUACUUACUCACAUUUAAGGAUAUUUAGGUGUUUGUGUUUUACUUCCACUCAUGCUCAAAAGCCAUCCAAAUUUGAUGCACGUGCAACUAGGUGCAUUUUUCUUGGUUAGCCUUAUGUGAAAAAGGGAUAUCAAGUAUAUGAUAUAGAACUUCGCAAGGUGUUUGUGUCUCGGGACGUCACUUUCUUCGAACAUGAAUUUCCCUUUAAACACACUUCCGCUGCCAAUAAGAGUCCUACAAUUUCCUCUCCCAUGGACCCCACCUUUGAUGAUGAUCCUGUCACACCCAUACCACAAAACAACACCGAUACUUCUCCUCUAGAAAAUCCUAAACCAAUUACUACCGAAAUCGAAACACCAUCUUCUGUUUCUUCACAACCAAUGCUUCCUCCACAUCCUCCAACACCUCUUAUGCAUCGCCAUUCUAAUCGACCAACCACACGGCCUGCCUUCCUCCAAGAUUUUCAUGUGGAAGCAACCCUCCCAUCAAGGCUUGGACAGUCAUUCGCCUCUAGCGUGGUCACCAAAUCAAGUACCCCAUAUUCUCUAUCCCAAGUUCUUUGCUAUGAUCGAUUGUCAUCUUCACAUAGAGCUUUCACCACAUCAUUAACUGUUGUCAAAUAACCAACUAGUUUCUUACAGGCCAUGAAAGAUUCUCGUUGGCGUCAAGCUAUGCAUGAUGAGAUUAAAGCAUUGCAAGCGAAUCAAACAUGGACCCUUGUUCAUCUGCCACGGGACAAGAAACCUAUUGGGUGUAAAUGGGUUUACAAAGUGAAGCUCAAACCUGAUGGGACUGUUGAGCAUUACAAAGCUCGUUUGGUUGCCAAAGGUUAUAGCCAAAUUGAAGGACUCAAUUAUCGAGAGACUUUUGCACCGGUUGCUAAACUGACUACUGUGCGUCUCCUACUUAGUGUUGCCGCCAUUCAAGGAUGGCAUCUUCAUCAACUUGAUGUCAACAAUGCAUUCUUGCAUGGUGACCUUGAUGAGAAUAUUUACAUGUCUCUACCACCUGGAUUCAGACGAAAGGGGGAGACUCAAGUGUGCAAACUUAACAAAUCAUUAAAUGGUUUGAAACAAGCUUCCAGGCAGUGGUUUUUGAAAAGUUAUUGAAUAUUUUGAAAAGUUAUUCACCAAAUAUUUUCUCUUGAAUUGUAAUUAAUAUAAAAUGCAUUAUGAUUUGAUUUCUAGCUGGUUAGGGGUUUUACCAUUGUGAUUGGCUGCUUGCUUUACAACUUCUGUUUGUUUUACUGUUUCCUGAGCUUUUCAAUAAAUAAAUCUGGCUCUUUUCAAUUUAUACGAUAAGACGGUAAGGGUGUGUUUGUUAGGGAUGAUUGGGUUGGAUAGGAUAAUUGCUAGAUUCAAGGAAUAUCCAAGUUGAAGGUAGAAGACAAGUUACUCAUGAAGGAAAGUUGUCCAUUCGAAUACCCGCAAAAAGGUAGGAUUAGAUGGGGUAACUUUCCUCUCUGAUCAUCGUCUUCAACAUUCGACUUCGACAAAUUUGGGAGUUGCGUUCCAUUUUCCCCUUGAAUAUGCCUUGAAUCUAGUGAGUUAUGCUACCCAAGCUAAUCCUCCCUAACAAACGCACCCAAACAGUUUCCACGAGCGGUUUUCUUGACAAAACUUUCUUUUAGCACCGUGGAGGUAAGGGGGGUGUAUUCAAUUGAGAAUGUGAGAGAUUUUAAUGGAUUUAUAAAUCCAUGGAUUUUUAUGGAGUUUAAUUGAUUUGUAGAGAUUCCAUAUAAAAUUUUGAUUCAAUUCCCUCGAAAUCUCAUAGGAAGAGGUGAGAUUUGUGAAUGCUUAAAAUACACUACGAAAUCUCUUCAAUUCCCUCUAAUUCCUCAACUUUCUCAAAUUCUUUAAAAUCAAUUUCUAAUUGAAUACACCUGGAAUGUUAUAAACUUCUUUAAAAUCUUAAUUGAAUACACCUAGAUUUAUAAGGAUUUUAAUAAACUAUUUUAAAAUUCUAAUUGAAUACACCUAGAAUUUCAGAGAAUCACUUAAAAUCAUGAUUGAAUACCCCUAGAUUCAUUAAAAGAAUUAAAAUCCCCUAAAAUCCCAAUUGAAUACACCCCCCUAAAUCUAUGAUAUCCAACGAGGAGGAAUUGUACCAAUACUUGUGGAUGCAGUCUAUCUGUAGUGACUUGAAGUUCUAUCUUAACUUCACAUCUUGUUUGUUCCCUUGGCUUAUGCAUAUGAGAUUUUUUUGCAUUAGGUUCUUGAAACAAGGAAAUAUAACCGAAAACAGAAGUUUCAAUCUUUUUCUGUCAACAUAACUAGUUAAAGGAAAUCGAUUUGUCUCUAUGUUAGGUGGUCUUAGAAACAGUGGCUUAAGAGGUAUAAGAUUUGUCUCUGUAUUUCUCUCCACAUCAAAGCAUUCUUUAUAUUUAAGAUCAAUUAAGUGUCGAAUUAUAUCUUUUGAGGUGAAACUGUGGAUGCCAAUUAAGGUAGCUUAUGCAUAUGAGAUUCGUUAAACAAGGAAACAUGACCUUAAACAGAAAUUGCCGUCUUUUUCUUUAAACACAGGUAAUGGAAGGAAAUUUUGACACUUUCAGCUAUCUUAGGUGGUCUUUACAAACAGUUGCUUAGGAGGUAUAUGAUUCGUCUCUAUCUUUAUUUCUUUCCUUACAAAACCGUUCUUUGUAUUAAAAUCGAUUACCAUGAUUCCAUCUUGUGUCUCUACUUGGCAUAAAUUACAUCUACUUCUUUUGAACAGUUUGAAAGACUUGCCAGUUAUAUCUACUUCUUUUGAAUUGAAACUGUGGAUGAUGAUAAAGGAGGUUGAAUGUUAGAUUUCAGUUUGUGGAUUUUUCAAUGAAUUGCUCCUGGUGCUUAUUUACCUGAUCAACCUUUCAAUUGUACUUUUGUUAUCAGAGGCUUGCCAUGUUACCAUAAAUUUGAAUUUGGGCUGAUGAUGUGCAUCGUAAUCGCUAGGUGAUGAAUCUGACGGGUAUAUUGAAUCCAUUUUUUAAUUGCUGUCAUGGGAACCGGGUGUGGUAAUCUGAGGUCACAUUCACUAGUUAUGACCUUACUCAGAGCAUUCUCUUCCAGCUAUCCUUUUUUAUUCUUCAUACAUAUUUCCUCCUAUAUGCCUUAUCCAUAAAAGCGGACACCUCCGGUUGUUUAUAGCCAAAAGUUCUGUAAUUGAUGCAACACCUUUCACUACAUCAGUGUCAAACCGACACAGAAGAGUACAUGGAUUUUAAGGCCUCCUAGUCAAGUUGAAUUUUCCACAUUUGGAGCAUGUAAGCUGUCCUUUUCGUAGCAUUUGCAUUCUGAAAGCUGGUAUACGUUUACAUCAUGAAUUAUACUCGGAAUUCUGCGGUUUCAAGUGACCACAGGUUUUUGUGGUUUGCGGCCUCAGAUUACGGAUUGACUUGAACACUUGUGGUUUUGGUUCACCAGAUCACGAAAAGAAUGCAAAGGAAUGACUUCACAAGGACUAGAGAUUUAAAUGACUUCACAAGCUCUUGACCUCUUCAUGCAUACGGUGGUUCUGCAUAAUUGUUGAGAAAGUCUACUUAUGUGGAAGAAUGGUCAAAGUUUUAAAUUUCAAUUCAGGUUUUUCCUAGAACAUGCCAAUGCAUAUUAUAAUUUCCUUGACCAGGUCCGCGUGGAAGAUGGCAAGGAAACUGCUUCGCAUAUUGUCAAGUCGAGAAAAGAGGCCUUAUCAUAAGUUCAUAACACAAGAGAUGGAUCAGUCGUUGACAUUUAAUCUCUCAGCAGCUCAUCCUUUUUAGUAAUCGAACGAUCAUGGAUUCAACGACCAAUGAAGGAGCCUCUUCCUCUUCGUCUUCUUCUUACAUCCAUUCAUGGACACAGUGGCGAAGCUAGAAAUUUUCAGAGGGAGGGGCGAAAUUUAAAAGCGUAAACCGUUCAAAGCAAUGUAGCUUACCUUUUAGAUAGUACACAAUAUUAAUAUCGUUCAUUAUUUAUCAAUAUAAACAAAUUACAAUUGUUGCCAAUGAGGUUUCAUGCUACGAAAAUGUCACAUCUAGGCUCAUUACCAAUAAAAGAAAAAACAUCUCUCUCAAUUAAAUCUUAAGGAUGAAAUUUAGCAAAACAAAUUAUUUUUUGUUGUUGGUCAAAAGAUGCAAAAUUAUUUACCGAAUUCAAAUAUGCCCUACAAAGAAGCAACUCAAUGUUUAUCUCAUUGAAGCGAUCAUUCAAUUCUUUGAGUUGCAUAUGAAGGACCUGAAAAUAGAGGUCCACACGAUAGUAAUGGAAGUUUAUAAGUCUUUGAGCUUUAUGUUUUGAUUUUCUGAGUAUAAAAUGCAAAUCCUCAAUAUUAGGAACAUUAAUAUUAUUUUUCUCACAAAUUUUUAUACAUUAUGAAACAAAUUCUCAAAGUAAUCAUCUCUCAAGGAUUGAAAAAAAAAUGAAAUAAUUUAAAUUCUGGAAACAUAACAAGAAUUAAAAAAGACCAAUAGUAAGCAUCAACCUCUUGUUUUUCUUUAGUCUAAACAAAUGAAAGAGAGGAAAGAGAAUUGAAAUGGUGGAAACAAUAAUCAAUUAAAAGCAUAGUCCGGUUGGAAAAAAGUCCACAUCAAUAUAAAAUAAAAAAAUAAAAAAGAAAUUAAAGGAUCCCACCGUCAAACCGCACCGUUUAGUUAAAAGUAACCAAGUUUUAUGACUAAUAACCAAAAACAGGCAAACGACGCUGUGUGGUUUGAAACAAAAUUAGGUCGUCUUCUUCCCUUGAAAUCAUUAAAACCCAACGGUGCAUUGUAAGAUUGUGAAUGAUAAUGAAUGUUGUAUUGGAUCGUUUUGUUGUAAGCCACUUGUCUAUCAAGUUGUUAGCAACCAAAGUGAUCCGAUAGUCCUAACAUAAUAAGGAUUAUGGAGUCUAAACCUUUGCAAUUGACUUAAAGAAAUCUGAUGGAUUUCACUACAAAGAUAUAGUAUCAUGGUGGGACUUAAAUACUUAAGUGAUAGGAUUUGAUUUUCACAACCAAUAAUAGGCCGGCUGUGAUUAAACCCUAAUGAUAUAAAUACUAUGGUUAAGUCCCUGCUUCCAUACGCUCAAUCUCUAAAAAUACGCUAAACCCUAUUCACAGCAGAGAGAUAUUUUGAAGUACUGGAAGUAGAAGACGACCAAGAACUCUGCAAUGUCUUCCGUAUUCUACAAAUAAGUUUAAUAUAAUUAGUCGAUCUCUAUUUUAUAUAUUGAUUUGAUUUAUUCGUGAUCCUAAUGUCUUGUUGUUGUGAUUUCAGAAUAUGUCUUACAUGUGGUAUCAGAGCCGCACAACAAGCUUAGGGUCCGAUAUAAAGGUAUAAGCAAAUUUGUUUAUUGAAGAUGAUUCACAUACUAAAGAAAAUUUGCUUAUCGUUUUGGUUGGAUGCCUUCUACUGUUCCAUCUCAUGAAAAUUUGUUUUGAUGCUUCCGCAAUUUUGUGUUGGUAUGCAAUCAUUUUCAUGGUUAAUAACAUAUGGAUUGGUCUAGGGGUGACUAUGCAUACUGCUGCCUUUAAAUAGUUUUCAUGAAAUUUAAUUAUUUAUUUUUCUUGUUGGCUCUCAUUUAAUUAUUAAGAGUGGGUUUGUUUUGGUUUGAUUAAUCGUGCUCUUGUGAUAUGAUUCUGGGGUUUUUCUUGCUUCCGCGGUUUUUUUUUUUUUUCUUCUUGAAUGGAUAUGUUAACCUUGUAUUGCCGAGAAGAUUGUGUCAUCUAUGUUGUGUUUUCUGCAAAAUUUUUCUUGCAAUUUUUUUUUAUCACGUUUACCUGGGCAUCAAGAUAAACUGAAAUUAGGUAUACAACUCCAACUAGGUUUGUUGUAUGCGACUUUAUGGACUGCUAUUUGAUAAUUAUGAAUUGAUAAUUCAUAAAUAUAUAUAUAUAUAUAUAUAUAUAUAUAUGCAAGGUCACUAUUGUUUUCGGUGAACGAUGACCUAAUCUUAUCUUGGGUAAUAUUUUGAUUUAUUAUAUAAUUUUCUGAUUAUUAAUUUAGUUGAUAAAUAUUACCGGUUCCUAUUUGAUUAAAAAAAAAAAAAAAAAAAAAAAAAAAAAAGGAAAGGGUUAAAACAUGCGAACAGUAAAGAAUUUCUCCCCCGUGUGAGGGUUUCUGUUCAUCAAUGCCUAGCUUACACCAACCUCCUUCAAUCACUGUAAUGCUCGAAUUGAAGCUUGAAAUUUCGGGGUAUUCAUGCGAAGGUAUGAAACUGCUUUUCAUAAAUUAUUGCAAUUUGGUUGAAUUGAAAUUAAGCUUUUGGUUCCAAUCGAAUUGAUUUUGUGAUAUUAUAAUUGAGAAGUUGAAAACUAUCAUGUUGUUUCUGAGCAAAUAUAGUGUUUUCAUUUGGGAUUAAUUCAAUUUUGCAGUUUUCGACUCUUAUCCUUAUAGUGCAUAUGCAAAUGAAUAAGUAAGUUUUAGUUCUUGGUUAUUUCUCUAUGAAGUGAUAGUCGCUUCUAUUAUUGCAAUGAAUAUUACUUUUAGUAUUCUUUGAAAUCGAUUGUCCGUUUCAAUUAUGACAUAGAAAAGAAUAAACAUUCCUUAAGUGUUUUUAUGUGACUGAUGUAAUUUUGAUAUGAAAAUCAUUCAGAUCAAUAAUUUCCGUUUGAUAAGACUUCCCUAACAUCAAUAACAUAUAAUAUUUUGUCAUGUAAAUGGAUUUUAGACGCUGGUAUUUUUUCACGUUUUUUGGACCAGAAAUGGAUUUAUGGUAAAUUUUUAAGUGUGAUACCUUAGUGUUGGAAUUCUGCAGACUUCCGCAGAAUAGUCUGCUUGUGAUAUUAUUUUGAAAUAUCUAUGUGACUCAUAAAUUCAUGAAAUUUUAGUAUGAUAUACAUUGAGAUAUUUAUUUCAAAUCUGGAAAUUUUGACGAGCAUUGGUUUAAAAAUGAAUUAUUGGUGAAUUUUUAAUCUCGGGACUGUCUUGCAGAAUUUAUGAGGUUUCUGCAGAAAAUUCCAUUUCGAUUUUAUUUUUAGCCCACUUUUUAAAAUCGCAUAAAUCAUGGAAUUUUUGGGUAACAAUAAAUUUACAUGUCUACUUUAUUUCUGCAAAUUUUCAUACACAUUGGAGGAAGAUUGAAGUUUUGGUGAAUUAUUUAGUCUCGGGUAUGUACUGAACAUUUUCUGCUGUUUCUGCAGCACCUCUCUUUUCAAAUUCAUUUUUGGCUCGCUUAUAAGAUUUUAAAAAUCAUGAAAUUUUGCAAAAUAGUAGUCAUAUAUGUCUAGUUCAUACUUGAAAAUUUUCAUGACAAUCUAAAGAGAAUUGAGUUUUUAGUGAAUUUGCAAACUAAAGUAGUACUGCUGAAUUUUGGUACUUCAAACUAGUUUUGUUAUGUGAUAUUGUUUGACUGAUUUGUGUACAUCAAUUGGUACCAAUUAUUGUACAAGUUUAUGGUUCCAAUAUGUCCUUAUGUUAUGCAAAUUCUCAAUACUAAUGAAUUUUAUAAACAACACUGAUUAAAUUUUGAUUUAAAGAUGUAUUGGUUUGUUUUGUUUAAACCAAUGUUUUGUUUGGUCUUCAAUUCUGAUUAUGAUGAUAAUUGUCUUUUGAGAAAAUUGGAAAGUGGAAUUAGUUUACUAAUUGAUCAUUUUGGUCCCUAUCGAAUAACUGAAUAACCAUGUUUCUUCUUUUGAGAACUCUAUUGUUCAAUGUCAACAACGACAUACUUUUUGUGUCUGAUUGAAUCUUUUGAGAAUCAUUGAAUAUCCAAACAAAACGGUUAUUUUAAUACUGUUCUAAAAGAUUAUUUUGAAAAAUCAGAAUUCUAAUUUAUAUGGUGAAUACUUUUGUCCCAAUGGGAAAUUCAGGAAAUCACUCACCAAUUAUAAAUUAGUAUUAUAACAAAUCAUAAAAUACUUUUAACAUAUGUUCAUCUAGCCAAAGCUGUUGAAGCUAUAUGUAUUUUGUGUAUUUUAUGUUUUGGCUAGCUAUGCAGGUAUUUUAUUUGCAUGAUUAGUUUCUGCCCAAAGGUGUAACAAUCAUGCAAAUUGGAGUUGGUUCGAUCCUCCACAACUCAACUACUUCCAUGAUGAAUCUUGCAGAAUCGAGAAUGAGUAGGUAAAUUUUGCCAAUCUUUUGCCUUAAUUUUUCAGUGAAUUCUAAAUUGGAUUAAAAUUAUUGUUGAAAAAGUUGAUGUUGUUGAGAUAUCUAUGUGUUUACUUUUAUCGACUUUGUUUUAGAAUUAAAACAUAAAUUUUGAGUUUGGAUUCUCUUAUUAGGUUUCAUUUUACUUUAUGACCUAAUCUUUAACACAUAUGUGGGUCUUCUCUCAUACACUAAAAUAAAUUUUGUAGCCAUUGGUUUAUCUAAUCACUUGUCACUUUUAGAUCGAUUAAUAAUGUUGAGAUAUUGUUCCUUUUAUAAGCCUAAUUUUGAUACAUGGAUACAUAUAGAUUGGUUUUAUUAUGUCCAAACCAACUAUUUUGUGACUCAACAAAUUUGUGUAAGAAAUUUUAAUGUUUUGGGCAUAUUAGAGGUUAUUUAUCUAAUGAAAUGAACCUUUAAUUUAUUUAAGAAAUUUUUGUUUGUGUUUUGAGCAUAUUAAAGAUUGUAAAUUGGUUUUUAUUUAAAUUAUGAUUAAAUCUAAAAUUUUGGUAGAGCUUGGGAAAUACUGAUGGAGUUUUUUACAUACCUUGCAACAAAUCCUAUUUGAUUACAAUUUUUGAUAAAUUUUCUAACUCCAAACUUUGUAAAAAAUUUGUCAUCUCUUAUAUUAUUAAUGGAUUGUGUACACUAUCUUUAUUGAUUCAACUAGCCUAUAUUUUGUUAUAUGAAAAACCACUUUCUCUAGUGUUUAAUCUUGCAAUUUUGAGUGUUUUGCCCAAGUGGGAGAAAUAAUGUAUUAUGGGCUUCACACUCAUCAAUUUUGCAUGCUUUUAAUGAUCAUAGUUUUGGUAGAUAAAACGUACAUUAUCAUACUUGUUUAUAUUUUAUUUGUUACAUAUGCAACUAAUCUUGUAAGAAAUUCAAGAAGGGUUAAUGAGUAUAUUCUGCUCAAAAGUGUUUUGCUUAUUAAUUCUUGUAUGUUGUUCAAGAAAUUGAACUUGUGAUUUAUAUGUUAUUGAUGAAUAAUUAAUCUGCUCAAAAGUGUUUUCUUAUUCAGUACAACUAUAAAUCAAUGUAUAGUGAAGCAUGGAAUUGACAAGAUUGUAUAUACUUCAUCUGCUCAAAAGUGUUGAAGCUAUAUAUGUUUGCCCUUGUAUUUUAUGUUUUAGCUAUGCAAACCUAAUAUAAUUAGUUUCUGUCCAAAGAUGAUUCUAGAAUUAUAUGCUUUUGAUGCAUUAGAAAACAUUCAGUUAAAGUUUUCUAUUUCUGUCAAUUGUUAGAUGAACAAAACUGACCAAAUAAUUUUGUAUAGUUUUUCAGUCAUGAGAAUCACUUCCCUACAAAUAUCUAAAAUAAAGAUGUUGAGCUCAUAAAUUUUAUGUUUUAGAUCCCAUGACUAAUGUUUUGCUAAUGGGAGUAUUUGAAAGGUGUCUGUUUCAUUUUAUAGGCAUUUAUAAAGUUUUUUUUUACUCUCUUAAUCAGUGGGAGUAAUAAUUUGUUUAUCUCUACUAAUCAGUGGGAGUAAGAGAUUACCUUUUGUGUUAAAAAUUUGAAGUGUUAGUGGCUGAUAUUUUAAGAGUAAAUUUUGUUUAAGUUUUGUUCAUAAGUUUUAAUAAGAGGUUCUCAUUUUGUAAAUAGUAUGCCGUAUUUUACUCGUUCUCUUAUCAUAUUCUAAAUUGACAGAAAAGUUGGAUGUUGUUACCAACGUUGUUGAGUUCUUUUAUGAACUACUUUUGUACUGAAAUAUAUUUUCAUAUUUUCAGUUCGACUAUUGUGAGCUAAUGUUUUGACUAUUAGCUCUUGACACCAUGACUUAGAUAGCAACAAAGUGCUUUAAGUUGAAUGUGUAUGUGAUCUUGGAGUGCAAGGAACAGACCAAAUUGUUCUUUGUUUUCUUUGGUUCUGCAUUCGAUUCAAAGUGACAGGUUGCUAGGAAAGGUUUAUUGCAUACUUAUGAAGACUCAGUGAUCACCAUGAGUUCUUAUUUUGUUAGGAUGAAUCAUUGACAUUCAAGUGGGAGAAUGUAAGAUUGUGAAUGAUAAUGAAUGUUGUAUUGGAUCGUUUUGUUGUAAGCCACUUGUCUAUCAAGUUGUUAGCAACCAAAGUGAUCCGAUAGUCCUAACAUAAUAAGGAUUAUGGAGUCUAAACCUUUGCAAUUGACUUAAAGAAAUCUGAUGGAUUUCACUACAAAGAUAUAGUAUCAUGGUGGGACUUAAAUACUUAAGUGAUAGGAUUUGAUUUUCACAACCAAUAAUAGGCCGGCUGUGAUUAAACCCUAAUGAUAUAAAUACUAUGGUUAAGUCCCUGCUUCCAUACGCUCAAUCUCUAAAAAUACGCUAAACCCUAUUCACAGCAGAGAGAUAUUUUGAAGUACUGGAAGUAGAAGACGACCAAGAACUCUGCAAUGUCUUCCGUAUUCUACAGAUAAGUUUAAUAUAAUUAGUCGAUCUCUAUUUUAUAUAUUGAUUUGAUUUAUUCGUGAUCCUAAUGUCUUGUUGUUGUGAUUUCAGAAUAUGUCUUACAUGCAUCACACCAAACCCAAAUACCCGUCGGUUCAGAAGAUCGGAGGAGCGGAAUCCUCACUCUCAAUGGUGAUUUCCGACGACCGUAAGGGCUGGAUUUUCCAGCAAGGGGAGGGCCUGAACCUGCGCUCCAGCUGUGUUUUCCGGCGAGGGGAGGGGCGGCCGCCACUCCUCGCCCUCACGUGGCUUCGCCACUGCAUGGACAUAUGAUGUCUUCCUCAGUUUUAGAGGAGAGGAUACCCGCAACAAUUUUGUAGGUCAUCUGUACAAGAAUUUGGUUCAGAAGGGAAUCAAAACCUUCAUAGACGAAGAGGCGCUUCAAAGAGGAGAGGAAAUAUCGUUGGCGCUUCUCAAAGCAAUCGAGCAAUCGAGGAUUUCUCUUGUUGUCUUCUCAGAAAACUACGCUUCCUCACACUGGUGCUUAGAUGAACUCGUUCACAUCUUUCACUGUAAAGAACAACUGCAGCAGAUGGUUUUUCCAGUUUUUUACAAGGUGGAUCCAUCGGAUGUGAGGAGGCAAAGAAAGAGUUUCGGUAAGGCACUUGCUGACCAUGAAAGCAAACUCAAAGAUAACAUGGACAAGGUGUUGAGAUGGAGAGAAACUCUUACGAAAGCAGCAAAUUUGUCUGGCUGGUCAUUCCAGGCAGACGGGUAUUUUUCUGACCUCUAUGUACAAAUAAACUUCAAUUCAUAAGCAUAAUAUGAAGGCUUUUUAGCCAAAAUGGUUUUUCUGAGAUGAGC
rnacentral:lncRNA from 1 species